rnacentral:snRNA from 1 species
GUGCUCACUUGAGGAGUAUAUGUAUUAAAAUUGGAACAAUACAGAGAAGACUAGCCUGUCCCCUUUUCAAGGAUGACAUGUAAAUUUGUGUUGACUUCUAUAUAUUU